rnacentral:rRNA from 1 species
AUGACUACCUGCUUCUCAGACCUUAUUAAAGAUCAUUCCCUGGAUUUUAUAGGACUUCAGGAAACUAUGAAAAAGAAAGUUUCUCCUAAGUUCAUUAGGAAGAUAGACCCCUUUGAUAGGUUUAACUGGAACUGGCUUCCUUCCAUUGGUAAGUCGGGUGGUAUCCUAUGUGGAGUUAAAAAAGAAACCCUUGAGAUUAUCUCUUGGGUAGCUGGGAGCUUCCUUCUGCAGGCUAAAAUUUAUGAUAUAAAGUGUAAAUGUGUAUGGGCCCUCAUAGUGGUAUAUGGAGAGGCUUAAGAUGAGAGGAAAUAUGAAUUUCUGGCAGAGCUUAUAUCUGUCUGCUCCCAACUCCAUGUCCCCUAUAUAGUGGGCGGAGACUUUCAUAUCUUGCGUGAUAAUGGAGAGAAAAACAAAAAUAUGGUGCAAUCACAUUUUUUUGACAAGUUUAACUAUGUUAUCCAGACUCUAAAAUUAAGAGAGAUUCAUAUGGGAGGGGACAAAUAUACUUGGACCAAUAAGCAGAAACAUCCCACUUUGGAAAAAUUAGACCAGAUCCUUAUGAGCUUCGAAUGGGAAGAUAUGUUUCCUUUGGUCGUAGUUCGUAAACUGGUGAGGGAUGUCUUAGACCACAACUCACUGCUCCUGACCUUGGGGGAGGAGAAAACAAGCCCUUCCCAUCAACGUGAAUUCAGAUUCGAGCUGAGUUGGCUAAAAAAUGAAGAAUUCUUCAUCAAAGCCAAAACAAUUGGGAGCAACCUGUCUCUGCGACUGAUCCUAUCGAUGUUAUUAAUAUAA